UACGUAAGGUGCAAGCGUUAAUCGGAAUUACUGGGCGUAAAGCGUGCGCAGGCGGUGAUGUAAGACAGAUGUGAAAUCCCCGGGCUCAACCUGGGAACUGCAUUUGUGACUGCAUCGCUGGAGUGCGGCAGAGGGGGAUGGAAUUCCGCGUGUAGCAGUGAAAUGCGUAGAUAUGCGGAGGAACACCGAUGGCGAAGGCAAUCCCCUGGGCCUGCACUGACGCUCAUGCACGAAAGCGUGGGGAGCAAACAGG
rnacentral:rRNA from 1 species